rnacentral:ncRNA from 1 species
AUUAAUGCAAUGACCAAAACAAGUAGGCAUACGACGGUCAUACAGAGAGUAUCGGUCAGCGGCUGAAAGCCGAUACAGCAGCCACAGUAUGUUGAAUGCCUUUGGGAGCAGAGAAAUUGAACUUCAGUAGAUUUCUCCGUGUAGCUUACGUUACAAGGUUACAAGAGGCAAUCGGAAUUUUCGAUUGCAAUCAGAGUGGAACCACGGACCACCGUCUCUGUU